GCCGAGUUCAGUAACGUGAGCUUGUAACCUAAGUAGGGGCACUAAUGUGAUGGGACACGUUCUCAGCCAAUUGGGCCGGACCUUCGGGUUGCUUAAUGCUGGCUCGCCCUAUCCAAGUUGGGAGUUGGUCCAUGUGGUUUGAGCGAAGGCUCGAACUUCAUGGGUCCUAAAGUGGAGGGGACCGCGUGAGGCUGGUUUACAGUGCAACGAAAGCCUCCCUCUCCUGUCAGUGGAAGGACUACGAGUUUGCGCCAUCCAGGUCCAAUAGCGCCUGCUUGGUUAAGUCCAUAAUUGGACCAUCACUUUU
rnacentral:SRP_RNA from 1 species